UUAGUGAAUAUAGGACGUCCAACUUAACUUGGAGUCCGAACUCUCACUUUCUAACCCUGUGCACUUGUUUGGGAUAGUAACUCUCGCAAGAGAGCGAACUCCUAUUCACUUAUAAACACAAAGUCUAUGAAUGUAUUAAAUUUUAUAACAAAAUAAAACUUUCAACAACGGAUCUCUUGGCUCUCGCAUCGAUGAAGAACGCAGCGAAAUGCGAUAAGUAAUGUGAAUUGCAGAAUUCAGUGAAUCAUCGAAUCUUUGAACGCACCUUGCGCUCCAUGGUAUUCCGUGGAGCAUGCCUGUUUGAGUGUCAUGAAUACUUCAACCCUCCUCUUUCUUAAUGAUUGAAGAGGUGUUUGGUUUCUGAGCGCUGCUGGCCUUUACGGUCUAGCUCGUUCGUAAUGCAUUAGCAUCCGCAAUCGAACUUCGGAUUGACUUGGCGUAAUAGACUAUUCGCUGAGGAAUUCUAGUCUUCGGAUUAGAGCCGGGUUGGGUUAAAGGAAGCUUCUAAUCAGAAUGUCUACAUUUUAAGAUUAGAUCUCAAAUCAGGUAGGACUACCCGCUGAACUUAAGCAUAUCAAUAAGCGGAGGAAAAGAAACUAACAAGGAUUCCCCUAGUAGCGGCGAGCGAAGCGGGAAGAGCUCAAAUUUAUAAUCUGGCACCUUCGGUGUCCGAGUUGUAAUCUCUAGAAAUGUUUUCCGCGUUGGACCGCACACAAGUCUGUUGGAAUACAGCGGCAUAGUGGUGAGACCCCCGUAUAUGGUGCGGACGCCCAGCGCUUUGUGAUACAUUUUCGAAGAGUCGAGUUGUUUGGGAAUGCAGCUCAAAUUGGGUGGUAAAUUCCAUCUAAAGCUAAAUAUUGGCGAGAGACCGAUAGCGAACAAGUACCGUGAGGGAAAGAUGAAAAGCACUUUGGAAAGAGAGUUAACAGUACGUGAAAUUGUUGGAAGGGAAACGCUUGAAGUCAGACUUGCUUGCCGAGCAAUCGGUUUGCAGGCCAGCAUCAGUUUUCCGGGAUGGAUAAUGGUAGAGAGAAGGUAGCAGUUUCGGCUGUGUUAUAGCUCUCUGCUGGAUACAUCUUGGGGGACUGAGGAACGCAGUGUGCCUUUGGCGGGGGUUUCGACCUCUUCACA
rnacentral:rRNA from 1 species